GAUCAACGAGAUGACGAGGGCGAUGGCGUUGAUGGCGCUAUUCGAGUGAAAGUUGAAGCUUUGGAAGCUGAUCUGUUUGAGCAAAUUGUACAGAUGAGGAGGCGAGAGAGCCGGACAGAAUACAGCAGUAAAGUGCCGCUGCAUCGCUCUCUCUAGUCCUGGUUUGAUCCUGCACUCCCCACAGUGGUCCACACUAUAAAAAGAAUAAAGAAAUCAGUUUCUCCAGGUUAAAGCGUGGAUUAUCUCGUACAGCAGACAGCUGUCUCACUCCUGACUCUCCCGG